rnacentral:rRNA from 1 species
GGGAAGAGCCCAGCGCCGAAUCCCCGGYCUCCGGUCGAGGGAAAUGUGGYGUUCAGGAGUGAGCGUGCCGGGCGCGCGGGAUGYGGCAAGUCCCCCUGACCGGGGCCUGUCCAGAGCGGGUGCGAGGCCCAUAGCCGCCGCCCGCGUCCCGGRUGCGAUCUCCUUGGAGUCGGGUUGCUUGGGAGUGCAGCCCCAAUCGGGUGGUAAACUCCACCUAAGGCUAAAUACCGCCGUGAGACCGAUAGCAAACAAGUACCGUGAGGGAAAGUUGCAAAGAACUUUGAAGAGAGAGUUCAAGAGUACGUGAAACUGUUCAGAGGUAAACGGGUGGGCCCUCGAAAUCCUGUGGCGAGAGGAUUCWGWCUGGUGCGGCGGGCUCCGCGKCGGAAGUCGAGCAGGGCUUCCCGCGACCGGGACCGUCCGUCGCGGAGACUCCCGCGGUUCCAGRCGCAUUUGACUCUCGUCCGAAGGACGCUGCAGCCGGUCCGGCAGUGCAAGCGCGACGGCCUGAGGGCCGGGAACAGGCAGGUGGCCGGAGACUCGCCGCGUGCGGGUCGCCGGUUGUUAGCCGUCUCGGCAGUGGCUCGUCGCCGGACCGAGGUGUCGCGAGGCCCUCWGGGGACUCCUCGUCUCCACMCCYGCMGGUAGCGGGACAGACCGCGGUAGAGGCCGCGCGCGAKCKCCUUCGCACUCCCUCGGAGUGGUCGGCGGGACGCGCGGCCCGAKWGCAGCGGCGGGCCCGUUGGGGUCAGGAGGCUGGCAGCGAGUAGGUCGGACACCYACCCGACCCGUCUUGAAACACGGACCAAGGAGUCUAACAUGUGCGCGAGUCAAAGGGUCUUGAACAGGCCCUGGGGCGCAAUGAAAGCGAAAGUCGGUCCASMACCGACCCAGUGGGGAUCCYMCCUCUCUMAAGGAGGAGGCGCACCCGCGACCCGUMMUAUCCGGCUCGCCGGUUGGGCGGAGUCUGAGCGCACACGUUGGGACCCGAAAGAUGGUGAACUAUGCCCGGGCAGGA